GAUGAACGCUGGCGGCGUGCCUAAUACAUGCAGGUCGAGCGAAUGGAUUAAGAGCUUGCUCUUAUGAAGUUAGCGGCGGACGGGUGAGUAACACGUGGGUAACCUGCCCAUAAGACUGGGAUAACUCCGGGAAACCGGGGCUAAUACCGGAUAACAUUUUGAACCGCAUGGUUCGAAAUUGAAAGGCGGCUUCGGCUGUCACUUAUGGAUGGACCCGCGUCGCAUUAGCUAGUUGGUGAGGUAACGGCUCACCAAGGCAACGAUGCGUAGCCGACCUGAGAGGGUGAUCGGCCACACUGGGACUGAGACACGGCCCAGACUCCUACGGGAGGCAGCAGUAGGGAAUCUUCCGCAAUGGACGAAAGUCUGACGGAGCGACGCCGCGUGAGUGAUGAAGGCUUUCGGGUCGUAAAACUCUGUUGUUAGGGAAGAACAAGUGCUAGUUGAAUAAGCUGGCACCUUGACGGUACCUAGCCAGAAAGCCACGGCUAACUACGUGCCAGCAGCCGCCGUAA
rnacentral:rRNA from 1 species